ensembl:lncRNA
GGCUGACUGUACAGCACAAGGUGAUACCAGGUUUGGUUCUUGCUUGCUAAUGCAUACAGAGAAAAGGUUGUGAUAUGGUCAGGAUCAGACUGGGCUUGCACAGAGGAGAUAAAUUCACGGAGCCUGACUCACCCCUGGUUCACACUUUGCACAGUCUGUUCCAGCCUCUGCAGAGGAGGUGCAAGAAUUGCCAGUUCACAUGGUUGUGUAAUACACCAGAGGAGGCUGAGUUCAUCCCAGCAGCUGCCUGCAGUGGCAAUGAGGGUUUGCCUGGCAUUAAGGAAGGACAAGACAGAAAAAGUAACCCCACAGGGGAGGGGAAAAAAGUAGAAGUAAAAAUGGAGGGGUCACUACUGAUGCUUUAUGUGACAGCUGCAAAGGUGAGUGGAGAGAACUGCACAUGGGAGCAUUCAUUGUGCCCUGCAAAAGCAUCUCCUAUCCUCUGAGCAGGAUGAUCAGAGCAAGAGUCGUAGCUGGCCAAAAAUUGUCCGUGGGAGCUCAGAGACACAUAUAUCGAUGCACCCACCUCUCAGAACCAAAGUGAAUGACAGAUACCCAUCCUGCUGUCACCCACACUACUGCAGAUCCUCUCUGAUUUGCUGCAUUCUUGUGCACCAACUUGGAUCCAAACUGCUUAGAGUUGAGUCGCUUGUGCCCAAAGAAACGCUACAAAAUGAAGGAGCAAGAGCAACUGGAAGCUUUUUUGCAGCUCCCCCCACUCCGACGGUGUCGUUUGCGGAAAGUCUCCUCGGAGAGUUCCGAGCCCGCAGAGAGCUCCGGGUCCCAUCCCUCCGGGCUGAACAGCCCCAGAUCCCCGCUCGGAUGAAUGGCCAUCCUCAGCGAUCGGCAUCAGAGCCACGCCGAAAUAAUGCUGCGAAUGGGCUCAUUAGCCGACCUGCAGAUGGACUUAGGUAAUAGGAAUGGAGCAAUAGUGAAAAUCGGUUUGGAGGGAAACAUCAAAUCGAAAAGCUCUGACAAAACUCCACUUUGCUCUAGUUCAGCAGAGGUAUUGUCAGACACCAAUAUUAAAUUCUAUGUCGCUUCAAAUUGAGGUUUUAUUUUGUUACUCGCUAAUUUGCUUCUUGUACAAUGUUGCAAGCACUUUCAGUCUCAUUUGAAAGGGUAAAAUACUUCGUACAACUUUUUAGAAGAGUGGCCUUCGACUUCUUACACCAGGGACACAUAAUCAUUUAAUUUCUGCUUUACGUUCACUGAGGAAAGUAUCUGUAAUACCUUCUCGAUAAAAAUAAAAUAAAAUAAAAACAAAAGGAUUAGCAGCUUGUUGUUUCCUUCAAAGACAGCAAUUUUGGACGCAGAGAUGAACUGGGAGCUGAAUUUAGCCCAGCAGAAGCAGGAAAAUUCUCCAGAAUGAAAGAAAGUAUCGAAUAUUUUAGGCUAAUGUCACCCUCUGUUGAACUCUGGCAAGUGGCUCUGAAGGCAAAGAGCUGUCGGAGCUGGUGUGCCACAAGUGGCAGGAGGGUUUGCUUAUACCUUCAUUUAACCUAUUAAAAGAAAUCCCCACUAUUGUUCGGCUACGUGGGUGUCUCCGUCUUUUUAGGCUACGUGCGGGCAUAUGUGUGGACUGAAAACAGGCGCUUAGAGAUCUUUGCUUUAAAACAUUCCUUGGAGUUCACGUAGACCACUAGAUUUUUAUCUGCGUGUCCAGUCGGCUGCUGACACUGUAAAUACGACAAAGACUUUGCAUUUCACAGCCCUUCUGCCGCUCUCGCCUCGUAAAAGUCAAGGGUUUAUGUUAGAAGUUUGGGGGUUGGGAUUUUUUUGAACAAAAACAAAGACUUUCCCCCCCUCUUUUUUUUAAAUCUCGUCUUGUGCUUUGUAUUUUUGAGGAGAGCAGUCCACGCGCCGCGGAGCGGAGAAGCAAGUGGUCAGGGAGAGGGGACAGGGGAAUUACCCAGCUAGGCUGCAUCUGCCUGGGAGCACUCGCGGCUCGGGCACGGGCAAAGGUUCGGGAACUUAAAACAGCAACGUCAUUGCUUCCUCUAAACCGAGACUAACGCUGGGCCGGCGUAAACUCCCCUCCUGCUGCUCCACCAAGGACUGGCAUCAAAGUGAUUGCCUCCACUGCCCUCCGAGAGCAUCACCGGUUGGGAGCUGCCCGGAUUGGGAUCUCCCUCUGCCCACAGGCUGCAGCAGCCGGCUGGUGGCGGGAGAGAAGAUUUUAAACCGCCCGCAAAUAUUCCCCCUCUGCCUUUUUAUAUAUAUAUAUUUAUUUUUUUUAAAUAGAAUUCCUCUUUGCUACUUAUUCACCUAACGUGCGACUGCCUCGCACGGGUAAACUCAAACCAUCUUUACCACAUCAUUGCUCCACGGUCUGCAGUCAGUAAAAUCCUAAACACUUAAAAGUGGAGUUUUUAUACAAUUAUACGGGUGUAGCCUAAGGAAAACGUAAGUGUCUCUAAGACGAUUUUUGUCUCGGGUCGCUAUUCUACUGGGCAUUUGGGCGUCUCCGACCCCUCCAAAUUGCCGAAAACUGGACUUUUCUCUCGCAGAAAAUUUGGAAGUUUCUGGCUGUAGUUUCCCCGUCUCCCAGUAGACGGCACAACAGCUCAAUCCUUGGGACGCAGAGCAGCCCAGCGGCUUUUUUUUUUUUUUUUUCCCCCCCCCCCCCCCCCCCCCCCCCCCCCCCCCCCCCCCCCCCCCCCCCCCCCCCCCCCCCCCCCCCCCCCCCCCCCCC